CUGGAGCGCGGCGCCGAUUGGUGGAGCGCGUGCGUCGCGUUGAAGAGGGACUCCGAUCGCUGCGCAAGGGAGUGAGAGGAGGGGAGAAGUGUCCCUGCCAAGAUGGAGUUCCAGCUGGAUCAGUUUUGGAAGACACUACUUCAAAGGCUCAGUGUCCUGCCAUGAAUCUGCCUGCCAUGCCGACAUCUUGCUUGUUUAUUCUUCUUCCUCUACCACUCAACAGCAGUUGCUGCAUUGACGAAGAGCAUUCCUCUUUUCAGCUAUGGUUUGUUACAAGAUAGGUUCCUGGUUGGUUGUUGUCCAAGAAGAUAACUGAGAUCCUAAGUUAUAACGCUUAGACUACAACACUGUUUUAAAGAUGAUACUACUAAGAGGAGGAAUGUGUUUAAAAAUUUAAGCAAGCAAAACAAGCAAAAAAACCACACACAGAAUUUAAUAAAGAAAAGACAAAAAGGAGGACUCCCUGUUUCUGUUGUUCAUAUAGAAAAGGUGAAGUUCUUCAGCUGGAGAGCUCCAUAUGUCUGCGUCAGUCAGCCGAGUGACUCAGUGUUGUGAUGCUAAUGUAGGUCUGACUGGAUUGGAAGCCCAAAUAUAUAUAACAGAGAAAAACUCGGCAUAGCUUCGUUUGAGAGAAGUGAGUAAUUUUUGUUUCCUAAUGCAUACCUCAAUUUAAACCCUUUUAUCUUUCACCACUGUAUUUCCUUCCUGUUUCCCUGGUCUUGCAUGCUUCAUUCAGCAGGCUACCUCAGAAAUAAC